rnacentral:lncRNA from 1 species
GCAAGCUGCCAUAUCUAAAUGUGAAAUGAAAUUUUGAAUAAAACAAAUCUUACAACAAAUACUCAUUUUUAUUAUUUCAUAGGCAGGCAUACUAUUUAAUAUGUGUAAUCUGGAAAUGUUUAAUUGGACAAUAUAACUUUCCGUGUGAACUGAGUUUCAUUUAGACGAAACUUAUUUCCUCUAUCUGUUCUUAACUCCGAC